AUUGGUGUAGUUGGGCGUCAUUAUGCAUCCCCAAGGUCCAAGGGGGCUGGGUUUAGAGACUUAUCGUUUUUUAAUAAUGCCUUGUUGGCAAAGCAAGGGGUGGAAGUUAAUCACCAAUCCCACAAGUUUACUCACGCAAGUAACGAAAUCUAAAUGCUACCCAAGAAGUGACUUUUUGAAUGCUGAAUUAGGGGCUUAUCCUUCGUUUACAUGGAGAAGCAGAUGGGGCGCUCGAAGUAUUUUGGAAUUAGGCAUGGGUUGGAGGAUCGGAGAUGGCAAAUCAGUUAAUAUAUGGAACGAUGCAUGGCUUCUUGGAGAAGGAAAAUUACAGUUUCAGAAUAUAGAUUACAAGUAUACUUUAGUUGCAGAUCUAAUUAACUAUGAAUUUGUUACCUGGAAUGAAGAAACCUUAAGAGGGCUUUUCCCUGAAGAACAAGCAAAGAUAAUUGGCUCCAUCCCCUUAGGGAACACCUUACAACCAGAUACAAAGGUUUGGCGAGGUGACAGGUAGAGGGAAUACAUGACAAAAAAUGGUUACAGACGGUGUGUCAUAGAGGAAUUAAACCUGCUGGGAAAUGAACUGACAACAUAUCUGGAACUAACUAGAAGUUAUUAUACAAAAACUUGGAGCCUAAAGAUUCCCAGCAAGGUACGACUCAAUCUAUGGAGAAUAAUUACAAGUAAUUUCUUGCCUACAUUAAGUAACUUAAAAGCCCGUAGGCUGAGAUAUGUUGCCCUAUGCCCGCUAUGUGGAGAACAAGAUGAGUCAGUUAGCCAUAUUUUUCGAUAUUGCAACAUUACCUCUAGCAAAUGACAGUGACAUUGGUGCCCAUACAUGAAAAUCAAGAAUGGAAACAAUGGUUAGCUGAAACGUUCAAUAUCAAUAAUGCAUAUAAAUGUACAUGCCUAGCAGUAUCGCUAUUGGCAAUAUGGCAUAACAGGAACAAAUACUACCACAAAGGUAUUCGACAAAGAAUAUACGAGAUAGUGGCCUUUAUCAAAGCAUAUAUAACUGAAAUUGACAUGCUAUAGGAAGCACUGAAAUGCAAACAUGUUACAGAGAAAACCCAGUGGGAACCCCCAACAGAAAGUCAAGUAAAAGUCAACUUUGAUACCGCGUUUCAACAACAAAGCAACAAAAUAGUUUCGAAAAUAAUCAUCAGAAAUCAUAUGGGGCUAGUUAUGGGUUCAUGUACUUACUCGAUCAACAACGUUUGAGAUCCGACAACCUCCGAAGCGUAUGCAUGCCUUUAAGGAGUUAUCUUUGCAGAAGAAAUGGGGUUUGGCAAUGUAAUCAUCGAAGAGGACUCAAGAAUCGUCAUAAAAAAGCUACAAAAUCCAGGAAACGACAGAUCAAUUAUUAGGGGUUUUAUAAACGAAAUAAAAGAAAAGUCAAGAAAUUUCUGGAAUAUUGUGUUCCAUUACGUACCGCGAGAAGCCAACGGAGCAGCGCAUGCGAUGGCUGCCUGGGGAAGAAGAAGCGACUCUUCGACUUUCUGGGUGGAAGAAGCUCCAUUAGAGGUUGAACCCAUAGUACUAAGGGAUCAAGGGAGAAGUGCUUAGUGAAAGAAUAUCGGUGGUUGUGGUGGGUUGAGUCCGGAGAAGAGAAAGGGUCAACAUCUGGGAGGAAAAAUUAAGAUGAUGAGGACAAUGGGUUUAUUUACCAGGUCUAUUGUAGAAGAGACAUCCGGUGACGCAGCAACAGAAAGAGAGGGCAAGGGAAAUUAAGUUUUAGGGUUUACAUUUUUCUGUUCUUUAGUUUUAUUUAGGAAAUGAUUGUUUUUCUCACCCGCAGAGGGUUUAGUGGCCUGGUAUCAGGUUUUAGGAAAUGCAAAACCGAGGCACUGUCCAUGGUAUGCAACAAUUGAAUGACAAAUGGUAAUGUUAGAUGGCUUAGUGAUUUUGUAGGAUAAUGUAUUUUUUUUACUUAAUUUUCCUUAUUUCAAUGCAGUGGCCGAAUUAAAUUCAAAAAUAAA
rnacentral:lncRNA from 1 species